AAUAGGACACAUGAGGCAAUAUCGUAACCAAUGUGGUUAAUCCGAGGUGCGAUUAUUGCUAGUUAAAAACCUACAAUCGUUCAUCUCUUAUUUUAAUCCUUAGGGGGGGGAUUUCAGAAUACUUCAUUAGUGG